GAUGAACGCUGGCGGCGUGCCUAAUACAUGCAAGUCGAGCGAACAGACGAGGAGCUUGCUCCUCUGACGUUAGCGGCGGACGGGUGAGUAACACGUGGAUAACCUACCUAUAAGACUGGGAUAACUUCGGGAAACCGGAGCUAAUACCGGAUAAUAUAUUGAACCGCAUGGUUCAAUAGUUAAAGACGGUUUUGCUGUCACUUAUAGAUUGAUCCGCGGCGGAUUAGCUAGUUGGUAAGGUAACGGCUUACCAAGGGGACGAUGGGUAGCUGACCUGAGAGGACGACCGGCCACACUGGGACUGAGACACGGCCCAGACUCCUACGGGAGGCAGCAGGGGGGAAUUUUGGACAAUGGGCGCAAUCAUGAUACAGCAAUGACGCGUGAAGGAUGAAGGUCUUCGGGUUGUAAACUGCUUUGAUAAGGAACGAAAAGCCCUCUUCGAAUACAGGAGGGUCAUGACGGUACCGUAAGAAUAAGCCCCGGCUAACUACGUG
rnacentral:rRNA from 1 species